UGGUUAAUAUGUGAAAGUGAGAAAUUGGGUGUUAGACUUUGGUGUUGUUACUAAAAACAUUUUAUGUUCUACACUCAAAUUGGAGAAGAAGAAAAGUUUAUAUAUGUUGGUGAUUCUAGAAGUACUUAAGUUCUUAGAAUAAAAAUAUUCUUCUUAAUAUUUCUGUAACACUUCGAAAAUUUCUAAGUUAGGACCCAAACCAUUUUUGAAUUGCGUAUAAGGUCGUACUGAGUGAUUUUUAAUUGUUCUUAGAUUCUAAGGUCAAUUCACUAGUGUGAGAAUGAUUCUGGAUAUCAAUUAAGGUCACCAAAAUCUCCUAGCACAAAGUUGAGUUGAAAGCUUCCUUACCAAUUAAGUUUUGACUUAAGAUUCUACUUAAGUCAGCUUCAAACAAUCAUAUCUCUCAGCACAUAAAGAAUUAGGUGGUCCAUGACUUAUCAAAUUAAAGAACUUUGAGUCCUUUUUCUAAGCCCACCAAGUUUGCUUCAUUUAGAGUUCAGAGUAAAAAGAUAUGUCCAUUUUAGUGAAG
rnacentral:lncRNA from 1 species